rnacentral:lncRNA from 10 species
UUGUGAAACUGCCUUUGCAAAGAUUAUGACGUGAGAGAAGUCUGGCAUGGCCGCCUCCGUCUUGCCUCUAGCAUCACAGGCUGGCUGUCUCCGCUCAUUCCUGGGCAUGGACGAAGCUAACCAUGAGAAGAAUUUAGUUUACAGUUUAAUUGUGAAGCAAGGAUAAUAAUAGUCGCUUCCUAAAACUGAUCCGCUCCUUGUUUGGAGACUGAAACAGUCUUUGUAAGACAAUGAAAGGUCACAAGAUUAGUAUUCUGAGAGGGGCCUGAAUUCUGCUAAAAUGUUGCUAACUUUGGAGGAAGCCAGCUGCCAUGUCACAAAAAGAUUCAGGAAGCCAUGUGGAGAGGCCCACAUCAUGAGGAACUGAGGUCUUUGCCAAUUACCAGCAAGGAAAUGAGGCCUCCUGCCAACAGCCACGUACCAUUUGAGUAAAGAAACCCUGAAGAAGAUUCCAGCCCUAGCCAUUGUCUGCCUGCAACUGUGUAAGAGAUCCCAAGCAUGAACUACCUAACUGAGCCCUGUCAACCCUCAGAAUCUUGAGAAAUA